rnacentral:rRNA from 1 species
UACAGAGGGUGCGAGCGUUGUCCGGAAUCACUGGGCGUAAAGGGCGCGUAGGUGGCGGGAUAAGUGUGUGGUGAAAGCUCGGGGCUCAACCCCGAGUCUGCCAUGCAGACUGUCUUGCUUGAGCGUAGUAGAGGCAGGUGGAAUUCCGGGUGUAGCGGUGGAAUGCGUAGAGAUCCGGAAGAACACCGGUGGCGAAGGCGGCCUGCUGGGCUACUGCUGACACUGAGGCGCGACAGCGUGGGGAGCAAACAGGAUUAGAUACCCUGGUAGUCCACGCCGUAAACGAUGGGUACUAGGUGUCUGGGGGAGCGACCCCCUGGGUGCCGGCGCUAACGCAUGAAGUACCCCGCCUGGGGAGUACGGCCGCAAGGCUG